rnacentral:lncRNA from 1 species
GUUUCCCACACAGGUCCAGCAAAAGGCUUAGAGUCCAAGACAGCGUCCUCCUUGAGUCCAGCCAGGGGCCUACAGCCCACGGCAAUGUCUCAUGCUUGUCCGUAUUGAGAUUCUGAACCUGCAAGUCCCAAAGGCCAGUGAUGGAAGCCAGAAAACCUAUGGUGGCGAGAUGAAGGAUUUGUGCCACCAAGCUGAGGAAUCUACAUUGGAGCCAGGAAGUGAUGCUCAUGGUUCCUCUUGGAUGUGUUCUGUUGACUCAUGAAUAUGUCAAUUACACAACAAAACAUAGCAAAGACAUUUGAAGCUGCUGACCUUCAAGAUUGGGACAAUGAUGGCCACAGCCCAGGAAUGCCAGUAGCCAUCAGAAACCAGGAAUUAUGAGCAACAAAUUGCUCCUUAGAACC